CAGCAGCCGCGGUAAUACCUGCAGCCCAAGUGGUGGUCGAUUUUAUUGAGUCUAAAACGUUCGUAGCCGGUUUGGUAAAUCUUUGGGUAAAUCGGGAAGCUCAACUUUCCGACUUCCGAAGAGACUGUCAAACUUGGGACCGGGAGAGGCUAGAGGUACUUCUGGGGUAGGGGGUAAAAUCCUGCAAUCCUAGAGGGACCACCGGUGGCGAAGGCGUCUAGCUAGAACGGAUCCGACGGUGAGGGACGAAGCCCUGGGUCGCAAACGGGAUUAGAUACCCCGGUAGUCCAGGGUGUAAACGCUGCCGACUUGGUGUUGGAGGCCCUUCGGGGGCAUUCAGUGCCGGAGAGAAGUUGUUAAGUCGGCUACUUAGGGAGUACGUCCGCAAGGAUGAAACUUAAAGGAAUUGGCGG
rnacentral:rRNA from 1 species